GGGCAGGUGAGAAUCCUGUCCGCCGAAAAUCUAAGGUUUCCUGAGGAAGGUUCGUCCACUCAGGGUUAGUCGGGACCUAAGCCGAGAGCAAGGCGCUGUAGGCGAUGGACAACAGGUUGAUAUUCCUGUACCACCGAAAGUCGUUUGAGCGAAGUGGGAACACAGAAGGAUAGGUUGAGCACGCUGUUGGUAAUGCGUGUCCAAGCGUCGAGGGAGAACUGGUAGGCAAAUCCGCGAGUUCAAUUCUGAGGCGUGAUGGGGUGGCCGCAAGGCUGGAAGCAACUGAUUUCACACUGUCAAGAAAAGCCGCUAGCGAGACCGUAAGUGCCCGUACCGCAAACCGACACAGGUAGAUGAGGAGAGAAUCCUAAGGUGAGCGAGAGAACUAUUGUUAAGGAACUCGGCAAAAUAACCCCUUAACUUCGGGAGAAGGGGUGCUCCGGAAACGGAGCCGCAGUGAAAAGUCCCAGGCGACUGUUUACCAAAAACACAGGUCUCUGCGAAAGCGAAAGCUGAAGUAUAGGGGCUGACGCCUGCCCGGUGCUGGAAGGUUAAGGGGAUGUGUUAGGGCAACCGAAGCACUGAACUUAAGCCCCAGUAAACGGCGGCCGUAACAAUAACGGUCCUAAGGUAGCGAAAUUCCUUGUCGGGUAAGUUCCGACCCGCACGAAAGGCGUAACGAUCUGGGAACUGUCUCAACAAUAGACUCGGUGAAAUUGUAGUACCGGUAAAGAUGCCGGUUACCCGCAGCAGGACGGAAAGACCCCAUGGAGCUUUACUGUAGCUUGAUAUUGAGAUUUGGCGUUGCAUGUACAGGAUAGGUGGGAGACUGCGAGGUAAGUACGCCAGUAUUUACGGAGUCACCGUUGGGAUACCACCCUUGUAACGUUGAGUUUCUAACAUUGCGCCGUGAUCCGGCGCAUGGACAGUGUCAGGUGGGCAGUUUGACUGGGGCGGUCGCCUCCUAAAGAGUAACGGAGGCGCCCAAAGGUUCCCUCAGUGCGGUCGGAAAUCGCGCGAAGAGUGUAAAGGCAGAAGGGAGCUUGACUGCGAGACAGACAAGUCGAGCAGGGACGAAAGUCGGGCUUAGUGAUCCGGUGGUUCCGCGUGGAAGGGCCAUCGCUCAACGGAUAAAAGCUACCCUGGGGAUAACAGGCUGAUACCGCCCAAGAGUUCACAUCGACGGCGGUGUUAGGCACCUUGAUGUCGGCUCGUCUCAUCCUGGGGCCGAAGUAGGUCCCAAGGGUUGGGCUGUUCGCCCAUUAAAGAGGUACGCGAGCUGGGUUCAGAACGUCGUGAGACAGUUCGGUCCCUAUCCGCUGUGGGCGUUGGAGAUUUGAGUGGAGCUGUUCCUAGUACGAGAGGACCGGGAUGGACGUAGCUCUGGUGCACCAGUUGUUCUGCCAAGGGCAUCGCUGGGUAGCUACCUACGGACGGGAUAAGCGCUGAAAGCAUCUAAGUGCGAAGCCCCCCACGAGAAAAGAUCUCCUCCAAUUAUGGUAAGACCCGUGAGAGACUAUCACGUUGAUAGGUCGGAGGUGUAAGUGUGGUGACACAUUUAGCUGACCGAUACUAAUAGGUCGAAAACUUGACC
rnacentral:rRNA from 1 species